GAAUAGACAACAUUUGAAAAGGUACCUUGCGUUGGUUUCCAUGGUUAAUUGUUUCCAUGGUUACCAGAAUGGUGGUCUUGAAACCUGAUUUUUCUCCUCUUCUCUACAUCAUCGAUGAAAGCUUGAAGUCCUGAAUGAGCUAACCUGGGAGCAUUCUCUCUGAAUUGAUGCUCAGUUAAUGACAAACACUUUCUGAUAUCAAUCCCAAAAUCUGCAGAUUGAAAUAACACUCUCCAAAUAUGAAGAAUGGCUUUAAUAAAUGCAAAUCAACUUGCCAGCAUUAUCAGACCUGGGCCCCUGAUACCCCUGAUGUUUUGAAGAUGACUGGCCUUGAAUUCUGUCUGAUAACUAAAGUCCCAAGUUUAGUUUGCUCCAGCCUGAGCUAAAAGGUCCAGGAAUAAAACAAAACUAACCUUGGGACUCAUCAGUUUACAGAGGGUCAGUUCAGAUCAUGGCCCCCAGCAGCUUUUAUUGGCAGUCGAAAGUUUGCAAGGAAUUUUCAGGAUGAACCCUUUUCUGACAGAAUAAUCAGGCACAGAAGUCAAUGUUGAUUGCACAAGUCAUUAAAUUAGUGUCCUUACAUCUGUGUUUAAUUUUUCUAUCCAUACUUCUGUGAAGCAAAACUCCACAUCAAGAUUGGAGCCACACAAAUUUUAUCUUCAUGUCACUUCUGCCAUCGCAUUAAAAAAUCAUUGUGUUUCAAACUAUGACUCAAGUCCUGUUUCUAUAGUUCGGUAAACAUAGAAUUAAAAUAUAGUAGAUUAUAGAAUAUUAUAUAAAGCCUUUUAUGAAACCUUAUUUAACAUUUUUUCAGCAUGACUUAUGGAUCAAUUGAUCCCCAGUUUCCAGGUUCAUACCUUAUCUGUGUUUUGAAUACAAAAUCAAUCAUAACUCAUGCCUCAUCUGAAAUUUUUGAACAGGUGAUUACAUGGGUAGGUGAGACGCAUCAGUAUUUCAAUAUUCAUUUGACAAGUAACAAUGGUAUUUGCCCUCAUUUAUAAUUUAAUAACAGAACACAUCUCAUUCAUCCAUUCUGUGACAGUCCAAAAUCCAUCUUUGUUUAUUAAAUCAUUCCACGGUUUAAAAAACAAUCAUUCCAGAUAUUCUCUCUGACAAUCUAUUUAAUGAUGUGGAGGUGCUGGUGUAGGACUGGCAUGGACAAAGUUAGAAGUCAUACGA